ACUAUUUUGACAGAUAAAUGUAUUGAAUUUAGAAUUCAUUUAUGUAGAUUAUUUCUACAAAUAGUNA
rnacentral:tRNA from 3 species